rnacentral:rRNA from 1 species
ACGGAGGGUGCAAGCGUUACUCGGAAUCACUGGGCGUAAAGGGUGCGUAGGCUGACUUUUAAGUCAGGCGUGAAAUCCAAUGGCUUAACCAUUGAACUGCGCUUGAAACUGGGAGUCUAGAGUUCAGAAGGGGCAGAUGGAAUUAGUGGUGUAGGGGUAAAAUCCGUAGAUAUCACUAGGAAUAUCAAAAGCGAAGGCGAUCUGCUGGGAUGAUACUGACGCUGAGGCACGAAAGCGUGGGGAGCAAACAG